rnacentral:lncRNA from 1 species
CAACUUGUUAAUGCUAUGGGCCGGUAACUUGCGACUGAGGACGGAUCUUUUCCUUGUUUCAAGAUAGGUACUACAAUAGCUUCUUUUCAUGAAUCUGGAAUGUACCCUGCUGCCCAGAUAGUGUUGAAAAGGGACAGUAGUGCUACUUGCGUGUCAGGAUGAAGAUGUUUAAUCAUUGUGUACAUGACUCUAUCAGGUCCCGGGGCAGAUUUCAAACAAGUGUUCAAGGCAGCUUUGAGCUCGGCAGUUCUAAAUGUGCGUUAGCCUGGUCUUCAAGGCUGUCGCCUUGAUCGUCCACCAACGGCAAUAGGGCAAGAACGAGAGUAUGAGGGGUGCCCACCGUCGCAGUUUGCGCAGUGGAGUUCGUUGUUACAGUCGUCAGCGGGAUGGUCAUGGUCACCGCACUUAGCACAGGUGAGCCGCCCUCGGCAGCUCAGAGAUCCGUGGCCGUACCUUUGGCACU